AGCUUUGUGCAGUGGCAGUAUCAUAGCCAAUGAGGUUUAUCCGAGGCGUGAUUAUUGCUAAUUGAAAAAGAUUUUGCACA
rnacentral:snRNA from 1 species